AGCCCAACUCUAGCCCAAACCCACCACAACCAAAGAAACAUUUAAAAAUUCAUGUCACAUAAACCCGACCAAAACAUUUUUCCAACCUAGUAUAGGCGAUAGAAAAGGACCUCUGACGCGAUAGAGAGUUGUACCGUAAGGGACCGAUGAAAGAACAAUGAAAAACCAAGCAGCGAGCAGCAAAGAUAAACCCUUGUACCUUUUGCAUCAUGAUUUAGCAAGAACAACCAAGCAAAACGAAUUUAAGUUUGCCACCCCGAAACCCAAGCGAGCUACUCACAGGCAGCUAUCACUGAGCGAACCCGUCUCUGUGGCAAAAGAGUGGGAUGACCUGUUAGUAGAGGUGAGAAGCCAACCGAGCUGGGUGAUAGCUGGUUGCCUGUGAAAUGAACCUAAGUUCUCUCUUAAUUUCUCCCUACGGACACACUUCAACCCGCAUGCAGCAAAUCAAGAGUAAUUUAAAGGGGGAACAGCCCCUUUAAGCCAGGACACAACCUCCCCUAGCGGAUAAUUUUUUCUCCUACUAACUGUAGGCCUUCAAGCAGCCACCAACAAAGAAUGCGUUAAAGCUCCUCCAAAAAAAUCUAAAAACAACAUGACUCCCUUCUAACCAACAGGCUAACCUAUCCCAAUAGAAGAACUAAUGCUAAAAUGAGUAACUGGGGGUCCCCCCUCUAGCGCGCAAGCUUACAUCACCGCAUUAUUAACAGACCACAGCCAAUACCUCUACCCCAACAAGACCUAAUAUUCAACUAACCCUGUUACCCCAACCCAGGAGCGCUUGUGAGAAAGAUUAAAAUCUGUGAAAGGAACUAGGCAAACUACAGGGCCCGACUGUUUACCAAAAACAUAGCCUUCAGCCGGCCAAGUAUUGAAGGUGAUGCCUGCCCAGUGACUCUGUUUAACGGCCGCGGUAUCCUAACCGUGCAAAGGUAGCGCAAUCAAUUGUCUCAUAAAUCGAGACCUGUAUGAACGGCUAAACGAGGUCCUAACUGUCUCCCGCAGAUAAUCAGUGAAAUUGAUCCCCCCGUGCAAAAGCGGGGAUGAACACAUAAGACGAGAAGACCCUGUGGAACUUAAAAAUCAGCAGCCACCUCUAUGCAAACCCCACCCUAACUAGAGUUACUACUACUAGAGUGCUGGCUGACAUUUUUUGGUUGGGGCAACCUUGGAGAAGAGUAGAUCCUCCAAAAAUAAGACCACACCUCUUAACUAAGAGCAACCCCUCAACGUACUAACAGUAACCAGACCCAAUAUAAUUGAUCAAUGGACCAAGCUACCCCAGGGAUAACAGCGCAAUCUCCUCCAAGAGCCCAUAUCGACAAGGAGGUUUACGACCUCGAUGUUGGAUCAGGACAUCCUAAUGGUGCAGCCGCUAUUAAGGGUUCGUUUGUUCAACGAUUAAUAGUCCUACGUGAUCUGAGUUCAGACCGGAGCAAUCCAGGUCGGUUUCUAUCUAUGAUAAACUUUCCCUAGUACGAAAGGACCGGUAAAGUGAGGCCAAUGCCACAAGCACGCCUCCCCCUUAAGUAGUGAGCCCAACUAAACUACCAAAAGGCUACCCACCCCACUCCGCCCUAGAAAAGGGCUG
rnacentral:rRNA from 1 species